rnacentral:tRNA from 1 species
GCCGGGGUGGCUGAGUGGUAAGGCGCAAGCCUGGAGAGCUUGUGUCCCUUUCGGGACGCAAGGGUUCAAGUCCCUUCCCCGGCG